GUCUUGCAAAUAACUCAGUUGGUUGGAGCAUGGUGCUGAUAAUGCCAAGGUUGCAGGUUCGAUCCCCCCCGUGGGACA